UACGUAGGGUCCGAGCGUUGUCCGGAAUUAUUGGGCGUAAAGAGCUCGUAGGCGGUUUGUCGCGUCUGGUGUGAAAAUCCAGGGCUUAACCCUGGACCUGCAUCGGGUACGGGCAGACUAGAGUGCGGUAGGGGAGAUCGGAAUUCCUGGUGUAGCGGUGAAAUGCGCAGAUAUCAGGAGGAACACCGGUGGCGAAGGCGGAUCUCUGGGCCGUAACUGACGCUGAGGAGCGAAAGCAUGGGGAGCGAACAGG
rnacentral:rRNA from 1 species